UUUUUUAUCCCCAAACUGUCAUCUAGGAAACAAUUUUUUAAUUUUUUUGACCAAUAGCGUAGGAUUUAUAAGAAAGGAAUCCAAAGCUAUCCUGUGACUGUGAUUCACUUUCCUGAGCGUAUUACCAUGAAAACUGUAAAUGAUGCAAUAGGCUGCAUGCUAGUCAAAGGUUCAUCAUAGAGUCCACUAAGUAAUUCAUAUUCCCAGGUCUGCAUUUUACAGUAAAUGGAAGCAAGGAUCUAUGAGAAACAUGCUGCUGGGAAAGAAAAAACAAAAAGAAACCAAAAGGAGUGUUAAUCAGUGUUGCACAGCAUUAUCUGGAGAAUUGAUGACAGACUCACAUUUGCUGUUUUGUUUUCCAUUAUGAAAAACCACAAAGGAAAAGCUAUGUAGCGAACUGCUUUGGCUUGCCAUUUGUUAAAAUGAAUGCAGAUUCCUCUGCUGUACAGGGGCCAUAUCUGCAAUUAAAGAAAAACCCCAUAAAUAUUCCUGAAGCAUACUAAGAAAUUCCCCUGAAGGGGGAGGUUCCAAGAACUUCAGAAGGAAGGCAUUGCCUCUCUUCAGUUCUAACUGCAAAGAAAAGAGAAGUUUUGAUACCCUUCAGCAAGAGAAUGUGAUCAACAAGGAUGCAACAAGCAACAGUUUAUUUGUAGAAAAAUCCUUUAAAAUUUACUACAAUGUAAGAUUAAGGAAAAAAUAGUCUUAAUGUAUAUACAUACAAUAUAUAUAAACAAACACAUAUCGCACCAUGAAAAUUACAUGCUUUUUAGAACAGAGAAUGGAUAUUAUUCCCUCAUAUCAAUUUAAAAGUUGUCACUGCAAGAAACCUUGCUUCCUUUUUUUUAUCCCCAUCAAAGUUUUCAAGUACAGGAAGUAAGUAAUGCAGGAUCUCUAAUAGUAGAAAACCUUUGUUAUACACAAAUUACAACUGACAGCUAGACAAUAUUAUUCUGCAGUAUCCAACACUUGUAUUUUUUUAACUCUAUUAUAAUGAUAUGAACUUUUACCUGAGGUGCAUGGAAAUAACGAAGCAUGAUAAUUGGCAAGUUUAAGAGAUUUUCACAUUAUGAUUUUACUGUAAUUGAAGUUGAUUAGGUGUCACACCUAUACCUAUAGUACUGGCACAAGAAUGCUCUGCAUGAGUCAUCACCAAUGACUUAGAAGUGCAGGAAAAAUUAACAGGCAAGCACCACUUGCAAUGAUAAGCAUGCAGACAAUUUGAGUGAAACAGAGGUAGCAUGUUCUUGUAACUCCAGCAGGGUCAAUCAAAUCAACUGCACCCUCCCUCCUGCAAAAGGCACUCACUUUUUCAGCUAAAAACGAUGCACUUAAGUUUGGUCAGAUUGACCGCAAAUGGUGGAUUUCUCUUGUACAAAUAUAAAAAGAUGUUAAGCAGAGGACACAGUGAAAAGGAAAAAAAAAAAGAGUGUAAGAAACAGACAUAUAAGGUACUAUGUGCUAUUUCUCUCCCCCUAGCUCUUAUAUGGAGAAUUAUAUAAAACAGUUGCAGUACGUAAUCCAAAAGUUAAGACUUUCCA